CUCUUAAUAGGAAGCUGACCAUACAGUUCCUCUGAGCAAGGAGGAGGUCGAAGAAAAUAUUAUUCUGAUGACCGGAGGGAGACUUUUGCAGCGCCCCAAGAAGAGGCCAAAGUACCUUAAAAAAGAUAUGGAGAUUUUGUUUCUUAGAGGAUUCUUUGCAACUAUUUGAAAGAUUAAGAGACCAUCCUGUUUGCAUGAGCUCAAUUCGGCGCUCUUCCUGCCAAUGAUGGCACUGCAUCGCCAGCCACUGUGAUUCGUACUUCGCUUGGUCUUCUUGUUCCCGAGUUGGUUCGUUUCAUGUCGAGGCCUUGUGACUGGUGCAUCCUUUGUUUGCCAAUUCGAGUGCGUUGACAUUGGAUUUCGCUGCCGGUUGUGGUCGAAGGUGGUGCUUGCUGAGGUGAUUCUCGGCCAUGGCUGAAAGCAGGGAAACCAAAGACCAAGCUAUGCUGAGGUCGUUUCCUCUUCUACAUGCACUCCAGGUGCUCGACAAAAUGACUCUUCCAAGUCAUGCGCUUAUUUUGACACUUCUGAGGGUUUCGGAUCUGUUGCAACGGUUAAUGGGUAUCCUAGGGUGAAGUUCUAUGCUGCUGAAACAUUCGACCUUACCUCGGAGUAUCAAUUUGCUCUUGCUGGGAAAUUUUCACAGAGAUAUGCAUCGUGGAAAGCGCUUGUUUUAUGGUUUGAUAAUCUUAAGCUUGUUGGAUAAUUCUCAAUCCGUAGAUUGAAUUAGAAACAUACUCUCAUCCACCUCUCUAACGAAGAAGACUAUUCUAAAUUGAGAUCUAGAGGGGUAUAGUUUUUUCAAGGCUUCCGGAUGCGUGUGCACAAA